rnacentral:rRNA from 1 species
CCUACGGGGUGCAGCAGUAAGGAAUAUUGGUCAAUGGACGCAAGUCUGAACCAGCCAUGCCGCGUGGAGGAUGAAGGUCCUCUGGAUUGUAAACUUCUUUUAUUUGGGAAGAAACUCCCGAUUUCCAUCGGGAUUGACGGUACCAGAUGAAUAAGCACCGGCUAACUCCGUGCCAGCAGCCGCGGUAAUACGGAGGGUGCAAGAGUUAUCCGGAUUCACUGGGUUUAAAGGGUGCAGAGGUGGCAGUGGUGAAAUCUCCGGGCUUAACACGGAAACUGCCAUUGAUACUAUUUGUCUUGAAUACUCUGGAGGUGAGCGGAAUAUGUCAUGUAGCGGUGAAAUGCUUAGAUAUGACACAGAACACCCAUUGCGAAGGCAGCUCACUACGGAAAUAUUGACGCUGAGGCACGAAAGCGUGGGGAUCAAACAGGAUUAGAAACCCGGGUAGUC